rnacentral:rRNA from 1 species
GACGAACGCUGGCGGCGUGCUUAACACAUGCAAGUCGAGCGGUAAGGCCCUUUCGGGGGUACACGAGCGGCGAACGGGUGAGUAACACGUGGGUGACCUGCCCUCAGCUCUGGGAUAAGCCUGGGAAACCGGGUCUAAUACUGGAUAUGACUCCAUGACGCAUGUUGUGGGGUGAAAGCCUUGUGCGGCUGAGGAUGGGCCCCGCGGCCUAUCAGCUUGUUGGUGGGGUGANGGCCUACCAAGGCGACGACGGGUAGCCGGCCUGAGAGGGCGACCGGCCACACUGGGACUGAGACACGGCCCAGACUCCUACGGGAGGCAGCAGUGGGGAAUCUUGCGCAAGUGGGCGAAAGCCUGACGCAGCGACGCCGCGUGAGGGAUGACGGCCUGGU